GACCCUAUAGAGUUUUAUAUUUAAUUAAUAAAUUAUUUUUUAGAAUUUAAUAUUAAUUUAUUUAUUAAAUAUUUGAUUGGGGUGAUUGAAAAAUUUAAGUAACUUUUUUUAUAUAUAAACAUUAAUAUAUGAUUAUUUGAUCCAUUAUUUAUGAUUAUAAGAUUAAAUUACCUUAGGGAUAACAGCGUAAUUUUUUUUAAGAGUUCAAAUCGAAAGAAAAGAUUGCGACCUCGAUGUUGGAUUAAAAUUUAUUUUUGGUGUAGAAGCUAAAUUAAUUGGGUCUGUUCGACCUUUAAAAUUUUACAUGAUCUGA
rnacentral:rRNA from 1 species